GGCGUGCCUAAUACAUGCAAGUCGAACGAACGGAGGAAGAGCUUGCUCUUCCAAAGUUAGUGGCGGACGGGUGAGUAACACGUGGGCAACCUGCCUGUAAGUUGGGGAUAACUCCGGGAAACCGGGGCUAAUACCGAAUGAUAGAGUGUGGCGCAUGCCACGCUCUUGAAAGAUGGUUUCGGCUAUCGCUUACAGAUGGGCCCGCGGUGCAUUAGCUAGUUGGUAGGGUAAUGGCCUACCAAGGCAACGAUGCAUAGCCGACCUGAGAGGGUGAUCGGCCACACUGGGACUGAGACACGGCCCAGACUCCUACGGGAGGCAGCAGUAGGGAAUCUUCCGCAAUGGACGAAAGUCUGACGGAGCAACGCCGCGUGUAUGAAGAAGGUUUUCGGAUCGUAAAGUACUGUUGUUAGAGAAGAACAAGGAUAAGAGUAACUGCUUGUCCCUUGACGGUAUCUAACCAGAAAGCCACGGCUAACUACGUGCCAGCAGCCGCGGUAAUACGUAGGUGGCAAGCGUUGUCCGGAUUUAUUGGGCGUAAAGCGCGCGCAGGCGGUCUUUUAAGUCUGAUGUGAAAGCCCCCGGCUUAACCGGGGAGGGUCAUUGGAAACUGGAAGACUGGAGUGCAGAAGAGGAGAGUGGAAUUCCACGUGUAGCGGUGAAAUGCGUAGAUAUGUGGAGGAACACCAGUGGCGA
rnacentral:rRNA from 1 species